UGACGGACAAAUUCCACUAUAGCACAAGUUUUAUUUGUUACACACAACUGGUUUUCUCCUUUUCGUUAGAUGGGUGAGAAAGAUUUGGAAAUUGAGGAAACAAGUCCACCACGUAGAGGAGAUGAAACUAAAACACAAGUAGGAAAAGUUAAAAAGAAGAAGAAGGUGAAGGCGGAGAAGCGUGGAGUUUGUCACGUAAGUAGAGUACCGCCUCGUAUGGACCACGUGAAACUUCGCCAGGUUCUUUCACAGUUUGGAGAAAUUCAGAGAAUAUAUCUUGUACCUGAAGCUGUUGCUGCUCAAAUGAAUCGGAAACGGGCAGGUGGAUUCCGAGGACAAGCAUUUUCAGAAGGGUGGGUUGAGUUUACAAAAAAGAGUGUUGCCAAAAGAGUCGCAAAUAUGUUGAAUGGUCAACAGAUGGGUGGAAGAAAAAGGUCAUCAUUCUAUUAUGACAUUUGGAAUGUCAAGUACUUGUCUAAAAUCAAAUGGGAUGAUGUUACUGAUGAAAUCGCACAAAGGCAUGCAGUUCGUGAGCAGAAACUAGCUUUGGAGCUUUCUGCUGCUAAGAGGGAGCGUGAUUUCUACCUUACACAAGUUGAUAAAUCUCGUGCUUUAAGUUCUAUUGAAGAACGAAUGAAGAAGAAGCAAAAGGUGCAACAGGAAUCUGGGGUAAUUUCUGAUUUCCCAAGUGAUCAGUUUGCACCAAAGGUGAUACGACAAUUUCCCCAGAAAAAACCUGUGGCAGAUCAAGCUGGGAAACUCAAGCCUAGUCUGUCUAAGGACGUUUUGGCCGGAGUAUUUGGUGGUCAAUGACAAGGGCGUACGAGUGCAAACAUUUCAGAAAUUGUGCUUGCCAGUUUUUUCAACCACAUUUGAUUUUGUUGCCUUCAAAAACAUCUCUGACUGUUAUUAGAUGUUAAAGUUAUAAGUAAACCUCAAUCAAAAUUUUUAUCUUUAUUUGCAGUUGAUUGUAGAUGUCAUAUUAAA